rnacentral:tRNA from 1 species
ACCUGGUUGGCUCAGUUGGUAUAGCACACGACUCUUGUUCUUGGGUGUGAGUUUGAGCCCCACAUUGGGUG